AAUGAGCCUGCGAGUUGUGGUGUCUGGCAAGGUUAAGCAAACGCGAAGCCGUAGCGAAAGCGAGUCUGAAUAGGGCGCUUAGUCAGAUGCUGCAGACCCGAAACGAAGUGAUCUAUCCAUGAGCAAGUUGAAGCUAGUGUAAGAACUAGUGGAGGACUGAACCCAUAGGCGUUGAAAAGCCCCGGGAUGACUUGUGGAUAGGGGUGAAAGGCCAAUCAAACUUCGUGAUAGCUGGUUCUCUCCGAAAUAUAUUUAGGUAUAGCGUUGUGUCGUAAUAUAAGGGGGUAGAGCACUGAAUGGGCUAGGGCAUACACCAAUGUACCAAACCCUAUCAAACUCCGAAUACCUUAUAUGUAAUCACAGCAGUCAGGCGGCGAGUGAUAAAAUCCGUCGUCAAGAGGGAAACAACCCAGACUACCAGCUAAGGUCCCUAAAUCUUACUUAAGUGGAAAACGAUGUGAAGUUACUUAAACAACCAGGAGGUUGGCUUAGAAGCAGCCAUCCUUUAAAGAAAGCGUAAUAGCUCACUGGUCUAGUGAUUUUGCGCGGAAAAUAUAACGGGGCUAAAGUAAGUACCGAAGCUGUAGACUUGCGCACAACUUAGAUUAUUUAAGUUUAGAAUAUGAGAAACUAAGUUAUGUUUAGUUAUAUUUUUACUGAUUUUUAUAGAGUAAAGAUAGAAAUAAAACUUAGUAAAAUCAGUAAAAAUAUUCUUAGGCUAAAGUUAAGUAGUUUAAGUUGUGUGCAAGUGGUAGGAGAGCGUUCUAUUUGCGUCGAAGGUAUACCGGUAAGGAGUGCUGGAGCGAAUAGAAGUGAGCAUGCAGGCAUGAGUAGCGAUAAUUAAUGUGAGAAUCAUUAACGCCGUAAACCCAAGGUUUCCUACGCGAUGCUCGUCAUCGUAGGGUUAGUCGGGUCCUAAGUCGAGUCCGAAAGGGGUAGACGAUGGCAAAUUGGUUAAUAUUCCAAUACCAACAUUAGUGUGCGAUGGAAGGACGCUUAGGGCUAAGGGGGCUAGCGGAUGGAAGUGCUAGUCUAAGGUCGUAGGAGGUUAUACAGGCAAAUCCGUAUAACAAUACUCCGAGAACUGAAAGGCUUUUUGAAGUCUUCGGAUGGAUAGAAGAACCCCUGAUGCCGUCGAGCCAAGAAAAGUUUCUAAGUUUAGCUAAUGUUGCCCGUACCGUAAACCGACACAGGUGGGUGGGAUGAGUAUUCUAAGGCGCGUGGAAGAACUCUCUUUAAGGAACUCUGCAAAAUAGCACCGUAUCUUCGGUAUAAGGUGUGGUUAGCUUUGUAUUAGGAUUUACUCCGAAAGCAAGGAAACUUACAACAAAGAGUCCCUCCCGACUGUUUACCAAAAACACAGCACUCUGCUAACUCGUAAGAGGAUGUAUAGGGUGUGACGCCUGCCCGGUGCUCGAAGGUUAAUUGAUGGGGUUAGCAUUAGCGAAGCUCUUGAUCGAAGCCCGAGUAAACGGCGGCCGUAACUAUAACGGUCCUAAGGUAGCGAAAUUCCUUGUCGGUUAAAUACCGACCUGCAUGAAUGGCGUAACGAGAUGGGAGCUGUCUCAAAGAGGGAUCCAGUGAAAUUGUAGUGGAGGUGAAAAUUCCUCCUACCCGCGGCAAGACGGAAAGACCCCGUGGACCUUUACUACAGCUUGACACUGCUACUUGGAUAAGAAUGUGCAGGAUAGGUGGGAGGCUUUGAGUAUAUGACGCCAGUUGUAUAUGAGCCAUUGUUGAGAUACCACUCUUUCUUAUUUGGGUAGCUAACCAGCUUGAGUUAUCCUCAAGUGGGACAAUGUCUGGUGGGUAGUUUGACUGGGGCGGUCGCCUCCCAAAUAAUAACGGAGGCUUACAAAGGUUGGCUCAGAACGGUUGGAAAUCGUUCGUAGAGUAUAAAGGUAUAAGCCAGCUUAACUGCAAGACAUACAAGUCAAGCAGAGACGAAAGUCGGUCUUAGUGAUCCGGUGGUUCUGUGUGGAAGGGCCAUCGCUCAAAGGAUAAAAGGUACCCCGGGGAUAACAGGCUGAUCUCCCCCAAGAGCUCACAUCGACGGGGAGGUUUGGCACCUCGAUGUCGGCUCAUCGCAUCCUGGGGCUGGAGCAGGUCCCAAGGGUAUGGCUGUUCGCCAUUUAAAGCGGUACGCGAGCUGGGUUCAGAACGUCGUGAGACAGUUCGGUCCCUAUCUGCCGUGGGCGUAAGAAGAUUGAAGAGAUUUGACCCUAGUACGAGAGGACCGGGUUGAACAAACCACUGGUGUAGCUGUUGUUCUGCCAAGAGCAUCGCAGCGUAGCUAAGUUUGGAAAGGAUAAACGCUGAAAGCAUCUAAGCGUGAAGCCAACUCUAAGAUGAAUCUUCUCUAAGCUCUCUAGAAGACUACUAGUUUGAUAGGCUGGGUGUGUAAUGGAUGAAAGUCCUUUAGCUGACCAGUACUAAUAGAGCGUUUGGCUUAUCUUUAAUAAAGCAU
rnacentral:rRNA from 1 species